UAAACACUAAGCCCAGUUGGUUUUAUAUUAGGGUUUUAGAGAUGAGAAAGAAUAGUUGUCAUUUUUGAAGAAAACAAGAAUAGAGGAGAAAGAGGCAAGACUAUGAAGAAGAAGAAGGAGCUUGAAGAUUUUUCUCCCAUGGUGUCAAUUGAAGAUGCAAUUGGAGACCCAUUGAUAAGGUAUUCAAGUAUGAAGAUUUAGUUGUCGUUACUCGAAUCGGUUGUCGCUCUGAUACGUAGCACUCUGGGGGGAACGAUUUAUGUCAUUUAUGAUGUUGUUGUUUAAUUGUGUUAUCUUGGUUGAACAAAAUGAUAAGUUAACUGAGGAUAUUUUAUUGAAUACAUUCUUAAGCGAUUCCGCUGUGUUUUAAUAAAAUAAGUUAUUCUGUUUCAAA